CAUACCCUGGAGAGCUCGUGACAAAUGUCGUCGCUGGCCUCACAAGCAUUCAUUGAGGGAAUUGACGAAAACUCUGUGUGCAGGCCCGGAAUACGCCGGGAAGCCUUAAGAUUCUUCCGAUUUUCCCGCCGUAGGCGCUCACAGGUCCUGCGGGAAGGCACUUGCACGGUUCAUCCGGGGUAAAA
rnacentral:other from 1 species